AUGGAAUGUGUGCACAAGUGAUAUCAGCAACACGUGGCUUACUUCCUUAAAGGUAACUCCUUUUUCUAGGCUCUCUACCGACUUCCUCUAGACUUUUUCCUUCUGGCAUGUUGGGAAAUAGCAACAAUUGGAAUAGCCACCUUGGACCGAGAGAUGGAAGCUAGUUGUUGAAUUCAGUAGAGUCCACCUACCUGAUUGAAAGCCCGGACUCACUCAAGAAGCAGAGUAGUUUAUCAGUCAGGACCACUGUCUUCCUGAGACAAGAGACUCAGUUUCCCUAAGUAUAACACUUCAGCAUAUCUUAAGAGACCUGUAGACGUCCUUCUUUGAAUGAUAUAACCACAAGAAGCAGCUAUGGAUCUCAAGAAGCGAUCUGCGAUGGUCCAGAACUGCAAGAGUGGGCCCAUUCCUGGGGAUCGCGACGGAAAGGAAGGUUUCUAUGAAGAGCCGGGCUUGCUUUGCAGAGCUGACGUUUUGUUAUUGAAGAAACCUUUUCAAACUGGAAUUUGGAGAGGCAUUUUCACUUCUUAUAGAUCUUGAAGGCAUUUUCGUUUCUUGUAGAAUGCUCAGACACUAGAUUUCUCAUAAGCAUCAUUUAAAACAUGUUACAUUUCAGAAAAAGUUGACCAGAAGCGUUCAGUUUUUGCCUGCCUGUUUUUAAUACCUCAUGAUGUGCUAUUGGGAUUUAUGGUUUCACUUGUCAUAUUGGCACCUGCGAUGGAGAAGAUCAUUAAAAACUUUUUUCAAGUUUUCAUUUAUUGUACCCAUAGAAAAAUUAUAUUUCUAUUAAUUGUAGUUGGAAAAUUUUGAAAAGUGUGUUGUAAGCCAUUCCAGAUAAUAUCUUUCUUGUUGUAUAGCUAUUACUCAGACCUAUCUAAAGAAACGGUUGAGUGUGAAUUACCUCAAAAACAAAGUAGUCACUUUAAAAUUUGAAAUGCAUUAUGCACCUGAGGUGCUGACAGCAAAGCCCGUGCCAGGCAUUUGAUCCACUGAUACCCAUUUUCCAAGUACUCCAGAUCCUUAGAUCUGCGUCUCUUCCAUUUUUGCUGUGGCCAACUUUCAAAUAAGGGAUCGGGAAACAGUUUAGUGAUCAUAAAUCACAUUGAUGGUUGGAAAAAUAAAA
rnacentral:lncRNA from 10 species